rnacentral:rRNA from 1 species
AGUGAACGCUGGCGGUAGGCCUAACACAUGCAAGUCGAACGGCAGCACAGUAAGAGCUUGCUCUUACGGGUGGCGAGUGGCGUACGGGUGAGGAGUACAUCGUAAUCUACUUUUUCGUGGGGGAUAACGUAGGGAAACUUACGCUAAUACCGCAUACGACCUACGGGUGAAAGCAGGGGAUCUUCGGACCUUGCGCGAUUGAAUGAGCCGAUGUCGGAUUAGCUAGUUGGCGGGGUAAAGGCCCACCAAGGCGACGAUCCGUAGCUGGUCUGAGAGGAUGGUCAGCGACACUGGAACUGAGACACGGUCCAGACUACUACGGGAGGCAGCAGUGGGGAACAUUGGACAAUGGGCGCAAGCCUGAUACAGCCGGCGCGCGUGGGUGAAGAAGGCGUUCGGGUUGUAAAGACCUUUUGUUGGGAAAGAAAAGCAGCAGGUUAAUACGACGCUGUUCUGACGGUACCGAAAGAAUAAGCACCGGCUAACUUCGUG